AAUUCGCCCUUGUACCGCGGCUGCUGGCACGUAGUUUGCCGGGGCUUCCUCGUACGGUACCGUCACUUCCUUCUUCCCGUACAACAGAGGUUUACGAUCCGAAAACCUUCUUCCCUCACGCGGCGUCGCUGGGUCAGGGUUCCCCCCAUUGCCCAAUAUUCCCCACUGCUGCCUCCCGUAGGAGUCUGGACCGUAUCUCAGUUCCAGUGUGGCCGAUCACCCUCUCAGACCGGCUACCCGUCUUAGCCUUGGUAGGCCCUUACCCCACCAACCAGCUGAUAGGACGCGAACCCAUCCAUCGGCAGCCACUCCCGUGGCCUUUCACCUUACGGCUUACGCGGUAUUAGCGACCGUUUCCAGCCGUUGUCCCCCUCCGAUGGCCAGGUAUUCACGCGUUACUCACCCGUCCGCCACUAUCCGUACAUAUCCAGCAAGCUUUCAAUAUACAGACCGUCCGACUUGCAUGUGUUAAGCACGCCGCCAGCGUUCGUCCUGAGCCAUGAUCAAACUCAAGGGCGAAUUCGCGGCCGCUAAAUUUCAAUUC
rnacentral:rRNA from 1 species